rnacentral:pre_miRNA from 1 species
UCACCUCUGCAGGCUGGCUGGCCCCAGGCUGGGCUGGGCAAGUAUCUUUUUGAAAAGCUCACCCUCAAGCAUGACUAGGAGC